AUUGAACGCUGGCGGCAUGCUUUACACAUGCAAGUCGAACGGUAACAGGGUGCUUGCACCGCUGACGAGUGGCGAACGGGUGAGUAAUGCGUCGGAACGUGCCGAGUAGUGGGGGAUAACGCAGCGAAAGUUGUGCUAAUACCUCAUACGUACUGAGGGAGAAAGUGGGGGACCUUCGGGCCUCACGCUAUUCGAGCGGCCGACGUCUGAUUAGCUAGUAGGUGAGGUAAAGGCUCACCUAGGCGACGAUCAGUAGCGGGUCUGAGAGGGUGGUCCGCCACACUGGGACUGGAACACGGCCCAGAUUCCUUCGGGAGGCAGCAGUUGGGAAUUUUGGACAAUGGGGGAAAGCCUGAUCCAGCCAUGCCGCGUGUCUGAAGAAGGCCUUCGGGUUGUAAGGGACUUUUGUCAGGGAGGAAAUCCCUAGUGCUAAUAACACUGGGGGAUGACAGUACCUGAAGAAUAAGCACCGGCUAACUACGUGCCAGCCGCCGCGGUAA
rnacentral:rRNA from 1 species